UAUUUUGGAUAUGCAUCGCAUUAAAGAAAAUUAAACGCUAAAAAUGCGACUGUCCUAAUAUCCAAGAAACACACUUGUUUUGCCACUCCAAGUAGUCUGAUGUAAUAAAAAGUUAAACGAUUACCGAUCGAUAUAUUUACGCCAUUUUGCGAUUGUAACAAGGACUGAUACGGUUGGGAUUAUACACGCCACACCCUGUUCAAGGAAAAAUUGUAUGAAGAAAUUAUUGAAGUGAUAGGUCCAAGUAGGGCAGUGGAAAAGGAUGAUCUGCAUAAACUCCAGUACAUAGAGAGAUUCGUUAAAGAAACCCUUAGGCUAUUCCCAUUACAAGUUUUCUUCUCAGAGCCAUAUACAAAGAUGUCGAUCUCGGGGACCAAGUGAUUCCAAGAGAAGAUUCCCACACCAAAGAAAGAUUCUGGCCAGAUCCGUUUAAAUUCGAUCCAGACAGAUUUGUGUCCGAAGAAGUCGAGAAAAGACACCCUUGCGCCUAUCUGCCCUUCUCCUACGGUCCUAGGAAUUGCAUAGAAUGGUUUUGUUUUAGGAGUGCUAUGAUGGCCAUGAAGACGCUUCUGGCGACGGUGACUAGAAAAUUCAAGUUCGACACUUCCUACAAGAGUGUCGAGUUGAAGGUUAACAUCGUAAUGAGUUAAGACAAUUCAUUGCUAUAAUACUCUUAAAAAUUUUGAAUAUUUCAUUGUCGAUGUCAAGGUGUACGCAAUAAAACUAGUUUUA